rnacentral:rRNA from 1 species
AUUGAACGCUGGCGGCAUGCCUUACACAUGCAAGUCGAACGGCAGCACGGAGCUUGCUCUGGUGGCGAGUGGCGAACGGGUGAGUAAUAUAUCGGAACGUACCCUGGAGUGGGGGAUAACGUAGCGAAAGUUACGCUAAUACCGCAUACGAUCUACGGAUGAAAGUGGGGGAUCGCAAGACCUCAUGCUCGUGGAGCGGCCGAUAUCUGAUUAGCUAGUUGGUAGGGUAAAAGCCUACCAAGGCAUCGAUCAGUAGCUGGUCUGAGAGGACGACCAGCCACACUGGAACUGAGACACGGUCCAGACUCCUACGGGUGGCAG